CCCUUAGAUGUUCUGGGCCGCACGCGUGCUACACUGAGUGGAUCAGCGGGUCAGGUUGCGCGAAAGUGUUUCCUAAUCUUUAAAUCCGCUCGUGAUGGGGAUUGACGGUUGCAAUUUUCCGUCAUGAACGAGGAAUACCUUGUAAGCGCGGGUCAUCAUCCCGCGCUGAAUACGUCCCUGCCCUUUGUACACACCGCCCGUCGCUCCUACCGAUUGAGUGGUCCGGUGGGGCUUUGGGAUCUGGGCGGAAAGAGCGUUUCGCUGUUUCUGCCCGGAAAACUCAGUCGAACCUUAUCAUUUAGAGGAAGGAGAAGUCGUAACA
rnacentral:rRNA from 1 species